UUAAGUGACUAAGCGUACAAGGUGGAUGCCUUGGCAAUCAGAGGCGAAGAAGGACGUGCUAAUCUGCGAAAAGCUUGGAUGAGUCGAUAAGAGGCGUUUAAUCCAAGAUAUCCGAAUGGGGAAACCCAGUAGAUGAAGAAUCUACUAUCAACAAGUGAAUUCAUAGCUUGUUGAGGCAAACCGGGAGAACUGAAACAUCUAAGUACCCCGAGGAAAAGAAAUCAACCGAGAUUUCGUCAGUAGCGGCGAGCGAAAGCGAAAGAGCCAGUAAGUGAUAGCAGUAUAGUUAGGAGAAUGUGUUGGGAAGCACAAUCAAAGAGGGUGAUAAUCCCGUAUCUAAAAACCAUAUUGUGGUACUAAGCUAACGAGAAGUAGGGCGGGACACGUGAUAUCCUGUUUGAAGAAGGGGGGACCAUCCUCCAAGGCUAAAUACUCCUGAUUGACCGAUAGUGAACCAGUACUGUGAAGGAAAGGCGAAAAGAACCCCGGUGAGGGGAGUGAAAUAGAACCUGAAACCUUGUACGUACAAGCAGUGGGAGCCUGAAAGGGUGACUGCGUACCUUUUGUAUAAUGGGUCAGCGACUUAUAUUUUGUAGCGAGGUUAACUGAAUAAGGGAGCCGAAGGGAAACCGAGUCUUAACUGGGCGAAUAGUUGCAAGGUAUAGACCCGAAACCCGGUGAUCUAGCCAUGGGCAGGUUGAAGGUUGGGUAACACUAACUGGAGGACCGAACCGACUAAUGUUGAAAAAUUAGCGGAUGACUUGUGGCUGGGGGUGAAAGGCCAAUCAAACCGGGAGAUAGCUGGUUCUCCCCGAAAUCUAUUUAGGUAGAGCCUUGAGGUGACACCUUUGGGGGUAGAGCACUGUUUCGGCUAGGGGUCCAUCCCGGAUUACCAACCCGAUGCAAACUACGAAUACCAAAGAGUGAUACUCAGGAGACACACGGCGGGUGCUAACGUCCGUCGUGGAGAGGGAAACAACCCAGACCGCCAGCUAAGGUCCCCAAGUCUAUAUUAAGUGGGAAACGAAGUGGGAAGGCUUAGACAGCUAGGAUGUUGGCUUAGAAGCAGCCAUCAUUUAAAGAAAGCGUAAUAGCUCACUAGUCGAGUCGGCCUGCGCGGAAGAUGUAACGGGGCUCAAAUAUAGCACCGAAGCUGCGGCAUCAGGCGUAUCACUAAUACGCCUUACGAUUAACAAGCUAGAAUAGCGCGAAGCGUCAUGAAAGGUUGUUCAAGCGACCCGAACGUUGAGUCGGGUAUAUUUGAGUGAGGAUGAUUAGUGAUACGCCUGUUGGGUAGGGGAGCGUUGUGUAAGCGGAAGAAGGUUCAUCGAGAGGUGGGCUGGACGUAUCACAAGUGCGAAUGCUGACAUAAGUAACGAUAAAACGGGUGAAAAACCCGUUCGCCGGAAGACCAAGGGUUCCUGUCCAACGUUAAUCGGGGCAGGGUGAGUCGGCUCCUAAGGCGAGGCUGAAAAGCGUAGUCGAUGGGAAACAGGUUAAUAUUCCUGUACUUGGUAAAGCUGCGAUGUGGGGACGGAGUAGGUUAGGUUAUCGCACUGUUGGAUAUGUGCGUUUAAGUUGGUAGGUGGGAAGUUUAGGCAAAUCCGGACUUCCUUAACACAGAGAGAUGAUGACGAGGCUCUACGGAGCUGAAGUAACUGAUACCACACUUCCAGGAAAAGCCACUAAGCGAAAGGCUUUACUAAACCGUACUAAAAACCGACACAGGUGGUCAGGUAGAGAAUACUCAGGCGCUUGAGAGAACUCGGGUGAAGGAACUAGGCAAAAUAGCACCGUAACUUCGGGAGAAGGUGCGCCGGCGUAGAUUGUAGUCCCUAGCGGGCGAAGGUUGAACCGGUCGAAGAUACCAGCUGGCUGCAACUGUUUAUUAAAAACACAGCACUCUGCAAACACGAAAGUGGACGUAUAGGGUGUGAUGCCUGCCCGGUGCUGGAAGGUUAAUUGAUGGUGUCAUCGAAAGAGAAGCACCUGAUCGAAGCCCCAGUAAACGGCGGCCGUAACUAUAACGGUCCUAAGGUAGCGAAAUUCCUUGUCGGGUAAGUUCCGACCUGCACGAAUGGCAUAAUGAUGGCCAGGCUGUCUCCACCCGAGACUCAGUGAAAUUGAAAUCGCCGUGAAGAUGCGGUGUACCCGCGGCUAGACGGAAAGACCCCGUGAACCUUUACUAUAGCUUGACACUGAACAUUGAAUUUUGAUGUGUAGGAUAGGUGGGAGACUUAGAAGCAGUCACGCCAGUGAUUGUGGAGUCAUCCUUGAAAUACCACCCUUUAACGUUUGAUGUUCUAACGAAGAUUGCGGAACGCGGUCUCGGACAGUGUCUGGUGGGUAGUUUGACUGGGGCGGUCUCCUCCCAAAGCGUAACGGAGGAGCACGAAGGUUUGCUAAUCACGGUCGGACAUCGUGAGGUUAGUGCAAUGGUAUAAGCAAGCUUAACUGCGAGACAGACAAGUCGAGCAGGUACGAAAGUAGGUCAUAGUGAUCCGGUGGUUCUGAAUGGAAGGGCCAUCGCUCAACGGAUAAAAGGUACUCCGGGGAUAACAGGCUGAUACCGCCCAAGAGUUCAUAUCGACGGCGGUGUUUGGCACCUCGAUGUCGGCUCAUCACAUCCUGGGGCUGAAGUAGGUCCCAAGGGUAUGGCUGUUCGCCAUUUAAAGUGGUACGCGAGCUGGGUUUAGAACGUCGUGAGACAGUUCGGUCCCUAUCUGCCGUGGGCGUAGGAGAAUUGGUUGGGGCUGCUCCUAGUACGAGAGGACCGGAGUGGACGCACCACUGGUGUUCCGGUUGUGUCGCCAGACGCAUUGCCGGGUAGCUAAGUGCGGAAGAGAUAAGUGCUGAAAGCAUCUAAGCACGAAACUUGCCAAGAGAUGAGUUCUCCCAAUCUAAGAGAUAGUAAGGGUUGUUGUAGACUACGACGUAGAUAGGUCUGGUGUGUAAGUGUAGUGAUACAUUGAGCUAACAGAUACUAAUUGCCCGAGAGGCUUAACUAU
rnacentral:rRNA from 1 species